GACGUAGGGCGCAAGCGUUGUCCGGAUUUAUUGGGCGUAAAGAGCUCGUAGGCGGCUUGUUGCGUCGUCCGUGAAAACCCGCAGCUCAACUGCGGGCUUGCGGACGAUACGGGCAGGCUGGAGUUCGGUAGGGGAGACUGGAAUUCCUGGUGUAGCGGUGAAAUGCGCAGAUAUCAGGAGGAGCACCGGUGGCGAAGGCGGGUCUCUGGGCCGAUACUGACGCUGAGGAGCGAAAGCGUGGGGAGCGAACAGG
rnacentral:rRNA from 1 species